GUAUCUUUCUCUUGAUGGAUGAGCUGCUAUUACAUCUCUGAGAGACUAUUGAGAGCUUGGCUUCUCUUUCUAUCUAGCAGAAACAGCUCUAGGUCAGAAGAGAGCAUCAGAUGUUUGAACGGAGUUACCGACAGCUGUGAGCCACCUUGAGAGCUCUGGAAAUGAACUGGGUCCUCUGCAAGAACAGUUAUCUCUCCGGCUCCUGCUAAUGCUUCCUAAAAGUGCAGAUCGGUCUUGUUUCAGAGGGUCAGCAGUGUCAUUUGGCGGAUAGCAUACUGAAAGACACUACCCCAAGAAAAGCCUCUACAGUGUACAUGUCAGUGUCUGAUGUCUUCAUUUUCCCAUAAGAGCAAGAGUUAAGAUGGGGAAGGCAGAGAAAUCCAACUGAAGAAAGCUUUCAAAGUGGAUGGAGCAGAAAGCAUGAGCAGCAGCAUGUCAAGUUCAACCCAAGAACAACUUUGUCUGUGCUUUCACAACUAAAAUCCAAGACCAAAGCUAGUGCGGAUUUCCAGUCAGUGCUGUGCGCCAGCAGAAUGCUGUUGAUAUUCUUAUGGCUAAUGUGCCUCAAAGAGGAUCCCAUUAGUUUUCCGAACUGUAGAAUUCUCCACGGUUGACACUUUCUCACUGAACUCUCACGAUUGUUUGGUUUCAAAGUCUGUUGGGCUCAAGAUGCAUUUUGUUUUAAAUAAUCCUUCAUGAAAAAUUCAGCUUGCAGUCUGAUUUGAUUGAAACUCAGCCCGAGUUUGUUUUAUAAUGCAUUUGGACUGGGAAGCCUACGAGCAGUGAAUUAUUCAAGACAUACAGACAAAUGAGGGAUCUGUGCUCACACAUGGGGAGGGGUGAUCAAAAAAUAAGAAAAAUUUGACAUGUCUUGUUAUCUUAUUUUAUUUACCUUUAAAACUCCUCCAAAUAUUAGAGGAAAGAAACCA
rnacentral:lncRNA from 1 species